AUAUUAUAUUAUUAUAUAUAUUAUUAUAUUAUUAUAUUAUAUAUAUUAGAGUGAGCAUCCAUCCACGUCCUGCGUGGAGAGGCGACACUGAGUCAACAUGUGAAUUAUAUUACAUCCGGGUUGGUUUACAAACCACAUUGACAUACAUGGAAAACUGUUCACAUGGAACCCAACCCGGCUGCGUUGUCCCCCCACACCAAACACAACACGCAGGUUAAAAUAUCAAAACAAACUCUGAUUUGUCUCCGAGGCAAUUCCAGGAGCUGCUCAGGAUGGAGACUGGCACGCCAAAUGGUCACCUACCUGAUGUCACCAGGGCAGGUGCCAACCAGUCCCCCAGACAGGCACUCCAGACAGAUACAGGGACUACUCAUAAAGCCUAGACAUAGUAGGGGAACUUCAGACAUGGCCAUAAAGAGAGAGACGGCAGGGCACUGGAGAUGUGAGGUACAGAGAGGAGUGGAAGAGAGGUGUGUGUGUCUGGAACAUACAUGUCUAGCCACAAUACAGACAGUUUCAGCAAAUAGGAAUAACGACGUUGGCAAUCGGGAGCACUUGGCGGUGAAGUUGGCAUUAGAGGAGUGGAGACACUGGCUGGAGGGUGCCAAGGAACCAUUCUUCAUCCUCACCGACCAUCUGAACCUUGAGUACAUACGGACAGCGAGGAGACUGAAGCCGCGUCAAGCCAGAUGGGCCCUCUUCUUCACCAGGUUCGACUUCACACUGACCUAUUCCCCAGGUUCUAAGAACAUCAAGGCCUAUACCCUGUCCCGUAUCUAUGAUUUGGGAGAGACUCCUGUCCAGAGGGCACUUAUAAUCCCAUCCUCCCGAGUUGUGGGUCCAGUGGUUUGGGACGUAGAGGUGGACAUCCGCCAGGGUCUACAGAGGGAGCCCACACCCCGUAAUUCUACUCCCUCGCGCAUCUACGUUCCCACAAGGAAUAGGGAUCGGCUGCUGACCUGGGCACACACAUCUACGUUCCCACAGGGAAAAGGGAUCGGCUGCUGACCUGGGCACACACAUCUACGUUCCCACAGGGAAAAGGGAUCGGCUGCUGACCUGGGCACACACAUCUACGUUCCCACAGGGAAAAGGGAUCGGCUGCUGACCUGGGCACACACAUCUACGUUCCCACAGGGAAAAGGGAUCGGCUGCUGACCUGGGCACACACAUAUACGUUCCCACGGGGAAAAGGGAUCGGCUGCUGACCUGGGCACACACAUCUACGUUCCCACAAGGAAUAGGGAUCGGCUGCUUACCUGGGCACACACAUAUACGUUCCCACGGGGAAAAGGGAUCGGCUGCUGACCUGGGCACACACAUCUACGUUCCCACAAGGAAUAGGGAUCGGCUGCUUACCUGGGCACACACAUCUACGUUCCAUCAGGGAAUAGGGAUCGGCUGCUGACCUGGGCACACACAUCUACGUUCCAUCAGGGAAAAGGGAUCGGCUGCUUACCUGGGCACACACAUCUACGUUCCCACAAGGAAUAGGGAUCGGCUGCUUACCUGGGCACACACAUCUACGUUCCAUCAGGGAAUAGGGAUCGGCUGCUGACCUGGGCACACACAUCUACGUUCCAUCAGGGAAAAGGGAUCGGCUGCUGACCUGAGGACACAGCUGGCCUCGCUGGACAUCCAGGUAUUUCUCGCACCAUCCAUUCCAUCACUGAGAAAUACUGGUGGCCCACCGUGGUGCGGGAUGUUACGUGGUAUGUCAACUCCUGUUCCAUGUGUGCUCAAACCAAGUCUCUCUCUCCCCCUCCCCCCGGAAUGCUCCAGCAGGGAAGCUCCUGCCGCUUCCCACGCCUCAGAGACCUUGGUCCCAUCUACCCAUUGACUUUGUUACGGAUCUUCCCCCUUCUGAUGGUUUCACCACCAUUCUGCUGGUUGUGGAUAGAUUCUCCAAGUCAUGUCAUUUAAUCCUGGUCUUCCCACUGCUCUCCAGGUCAAUGAGGUCUUCCGGUAUUAUGGUCUUCCGAAAGACAUUGUCUCAGACUGUGGACCAGAAUUCACAUCCCGAGUAUUGAGGGCCUUCUUGGAGAAGCUUGGGGUCAUGGUUAGCCUCACAUCCAGGUAUUGGCCUCAGUCUAACUUGCAGGUGGAGAGAGCUGGGGAGUUUCCUGAGGAGUCACUGUCAGGACCGGCAGGGUGAGUGGGCACGUUUCCUUCCUUGGGCAGAGUACGCCCAGAACUCUCUACAUCGCUCCUCUACUGGGUUGACCAUCUUCCAGUGUGUUGGGUUUCCAGCCGGCCCUGACCCUGUGAACCCCGGGCCAGACUGCGGCUUCUGCAGUAGAUGAGUGGUUCCGGUGUGGCGAGGAGGUGUGGAACAAUGCGCCUUUAACUCCAGCAUGCCGUCCGUCAUCAGAAGGAGCAGGCUCUCUACCAGGAACCUCCCACUCCACCUGCCCUGCAAGAAACUGAGCCCCCGGCUGGUGGUUCCUGGUCCCCUAACUGAUGCUGUCCCCCACAACACACCUCCACCCCCCUGGACAUCGAGGGGAGACCGGCGUACGCUGUCAGAUCCCUACUGGACUCCCGACGUCGUGGGGCCGCCUCCAGUAUCUGGUGGACUGGGAGGGGUAUGGCCCAGAGGGGUGUUGGGUUCCAGUGGAAGACAUUCUGGAUUCCAACAUCAUUGGUGAUUUCCACCUUCGCCGCCUGGACCGAUCCGCUCCUUGUCCUUGAGGUCGUCCUGUUGCUGGAUUCGCACGUCAGAGGGGGGAUACUGUACUGUCUUCCCCUCCGGCGUACAACGUCGCCAGAGUACUAACCACCGGUCCUGGGAUUCAUCAGCACGCAUACCUGUGAAUCAUUAUGAUUCACACAUGGACUCCAUUACCUUAAAUUCCUCCCCUUUAUGUCACUCUUCCAGGUUCACUCACCAGUUGGUAUUGUUCUUGUGUAUCGGCGUUCUGCCUUAUGUUUGUGUUGUGUUCUUGGUUUUGUUGUAUUAAAACGUUUCACCUGAAA